GUAAUUGCUGAAUGUUCACUAUUAUUAUCACCAUGAAGUACAGAAGAUUUGCUGGAAGUCCUAGGAAAGACCAGAUUCUACCUGAAGCCACUUAACAUCUAGCCCACCAAUGAGUCACAGCACAGGCUAGUAAUUUCUUACUAAAGAAAAGUAGGUUCUAACAAAUCUGUAAGUACCAGUGUCCUCACCAGAAAGCAUUGUUGUGCCUGCUUAAUCUCCUCAUUUGUUCCCAAUAUAUAUUUGGAGCUCAGGGACCAGCUGCUGUGUCAUGAGUAUUAGCUGUCACGAGGUUUAGUGGCAGCAAAUACCCAUGCCAGUCCACUCCCAGAAAGAUCAGAAAAAUGCAAGUACUAUAGGUGAAAACCAGGGGACCCUGAGGCUGGUUCCCUUUUUUUCCUUUUUGAAAGUUGUGUAUUUAUGUUUGGAAUAGUGAUUUGCAGUGGGAAGGCCGGCGAAGCAGUGGAAAUCUGUGUUCAGUGGCUGAUGAGUGGCUUUUGACCACCAUAAUUUUCUUCCUGACAUGUUUGACAAGAGCAUUGUUGUCUUCUUAGCAUCGUGACACUAUCUGGGCAGACACCUGCACAUGCUUGUGAAAACUGGAUGGCAACUGCCCCUUCACACCUGUAAGAGUUGCUUCUCCAUGACAACUCACAGAGCAACCAGAGGUAUUUUUAGUAGAGAUGGGGUUUCACCAUGUUGGCCAGGGUGGUCUCAAUCUCUUGACCUCAUGAUCCGCCUGCCUCAGCCUCCGAAGUGCUGAGAUUACAGGCAUGGGAGUGCUUCUUUAGAAGGGCAUUUAAAGGAUAGGUCAAGAGGCUUUUAAAAGUUGGUUUUGGAUUUUCAAUGCCCCUCCAUCACCAAAAGAAAAAUGAUCUUUCGUUCAGAGAAUUUCACUUUGAAGAGCAGAGGCAAAAGGAGAUUCACAGAGGGGCAGGAGCCGUCAAUGCUGUCUCGUGAGAGGAGAGAAGAGGCAUUAUGUGAUCUAACAUCCUUGAACACGUUUAUUACGAUCUGUCAUCUACAUAGCAACAGACAGGGCCAUGCUCAUAAACCAGAACUGGCACUAGAUCUGAAAAAAAAUUGCCCACCUUUGCCCUAAGGGACUACUCUAGGACAACAACUGUCUAGAAAAUACGGCACCGAACCAAGCAAUCAACUGCUUUUCUGCUGACACUGGCCAGCUUGCUGUGUACUUGUGUUUGCAACUCCUCCUUCGUG
rnacentral:lncRNA from 1 species